rnacentral:lncRNA from 1 species
GACUCAGUCUUCAUCAAGAAGGCUGAAUCUGAGGAGCUGGAGAUCCAGAAGCCUCAGGUGAAGCUGCGUCGCGCUGUGUCUGAGGUGGUCCGCCCCGCGUCCACACCGCCCAUUAUGGCCUCGGCCAUCAAGGAUGAAGACGAUGAGGAACGCAUCAUUGCUGAGCUGGAGAGUGGUGGUGGCAGUGUGCCACCCAUGAAGGUGGUGACUCCCGGAGCCUCUCGGCUGAAGGCGGCCCAGGGUCCAGCAGGCAGCCCUGAUAAAGGCAAACACGGCAAGCAACGAACGGAAUACAUGAGGAUCCAGGCCCAGCAGCAGGCCACUAAACCAUCUAAAGAGAUGAGCGGUCCGAAUGAGACCUCAAGCCCCGUCUCAGAAAAACCCUCUGGUUCCAGAACCUCCAU